CGAAAAGUUUGAAGAAGAUUGCAGAGCUCAGAGGGAUUUUUCCUGCCGGAAAUUGAGGUCUAAUGCAUCAGCCAAAGUAAAAGAUCCGGAGCCUUUAAACAACUGGAUGUGAAGAAUUGAAGUGUUUCGGUAUGAAACCACGGAGUGGCAUGGUCACCCAAGGGACAUCCAUUUAUAAACACGAAGUUUCAUCGACUAGAAUUCUGUUACGCGUAGAAAUAUUGACGAGGGAUACCGCGUUAACGUUCCAUCGAGAUGCUGGUAUCCGGGAAUUCAGUUCCUGAAGCUUUAAAUCUGUAAAUUGAGCAGUUUCUGCACCGCGAGAUUGUCUGGAUUUGGUUGUUGUGAAUGCAUUCCUUCUUAAAAUUUUAGUCGGUUUGCUUAAAAAGGAGUUCGGAUCCGUAUUCGGAUAACCAGAAAAGGGAAGACUUUUUCCCCGCUUAGGACAAUCUUGAUCAGAAAAUGUUAAUAAUUAAUAAUA